UGGUGAAAUUUGAGACGAUCGAGGCC
rnacentral:piRNA from 1 species